UACGGGGGGGGCAAGCGUUGCUCGGAAUCACUGGGCGUAAAGCGCACGUAGGCGGCUUUCUAAGUCAGGGGUGAAAUCCUGGAGCUCAACUCCAGAACUGCCUUUGAUACUGGAGAGCUCGAGUCCGGAAGAGGUGAGUGGAACUCCGAGUGUAGAGGUGAAAUUCGUAGAUAUUCGGAAGAACACCAGUGGCGAAGGCGGCUCACUGGUCCGGUACUGACGCUGAUGUGCGAAAGCGUGGGGAGCAAACAGG
rnacentral:rRNA from 1 species